rnacentral:rRNA from 1 species
UGGGGAAUAUUGCACAAUGGGCGCAAGCCUGAUGCAGCAACGCCGCGUGAACGAUGAAGGUCUUCGGAUCGUAAAGUUCUGUUGCAGGGGAAGAUAAUGACGGUACCCUGUGAGGAAGCCCCGGCUAACUACGUGCCAGCAGCCGCGGUAAUACGUAGGGGGCUAGCGUUAUCCGGAUUUACUGGGCGUAAAGGGUGCGUAGGUGGUCUUUCAAGUCGGUGGUUAAAGGCUACGGCUCAACCGUAGUUAGCCUCCGAAACUGGAAGACUUGAGUGCAGGAGAGGAAAGUGGAAUUCCCAGUGUAGCGGUGAAAUGCGUAGAUAUUGGGAGGAACACCAGUAGCGAAGGCGGCUUUCUGGACUGCAACUGACACUGAGGCACGAAAGCGUGGGUAGCAAACAGC